UACGGAGGGUGCAAGCGUUAAUCGGAAUUACUGGGCGUAAAGCGCGCGUAGGUGGUUUGGUAAGUCAGAUGUGAAAGCCCCGGGCUCAACCUGGGAAUUGCUUCUGAUACUGCUGGACUAGAGUACAGUAGAGGGCAGUGGAAUUUCCGGUGUAGCGGUGAAAUGCGUAGAUAUCGGAAGGAACACCAGUGGCGAAGGCGACUGCCUGGACUGAUACUGACACUGAGGUGCGAAAGCGUGGGUAGCAAACAGG
rnacentral:rRNA from 1 species